GAGUUUGAUCUUGGCUCAGAGCGAACGCUGGCGGCAGGCUUAACACAUGCAAGUCGAGCGGGCGUAGCAAUACGUCAGCGGCAGACGGGUGAGUAACACGUGGGAACGUACCUUUUGGUUCGGAACAACUGAGGGAAACGUUCAGCUAAUACCGGAUAAGCCCUAACGGGAAAGGAUUAUCGCCGAAGAUCGGCCCGCGUCUGAUUAGCUAGUUGGUGAGGUAAUGGCUCACCAAGGCGACGAUCAGUAGCUGGUCUGAGAGGAUGAUCAGCCACACUGGGACUGAGACACGGCCCAGACUCCUACGGGAGGCAGCAGUGGGGAAGUAUUGGACGAAUGGGGGCGAACCCUCGAUCCAGCCAUGCCGCGUGAGUGAUG
rnacentral:rRNA from 1 species